rnacentral:lncRNA from 1 species
AAGCUUUUGAAAGGGCCAAAACCUAAGCUUUAUGCAUCAUGCCCGACCUAGACGUAUCAAAGAUGGAUUUUUUCAAGACUAUGGUAGAUGACUAGCUGGUGGACAUGAAGGAAGCUUCUUCUAAAGUGGAGGUUUUGAAAGACGUGGCGAUGAACAAAUCGACCCCUGAGUCUCAGGAAGACGAGCAUCACGAAAUUUAAUGUUUUGUUUAUGUUUGUUAUUG